rnacentral:rRNA from 1 species
UACGUAGGGUGCGAGCGUUGUCCGGAAUUAUUGGGCGUAAAGAGCUUGUAGGCGGUUUGUCGCGUCUGCCGUGAAAAUCCGGGGCUCAACCCCGGACUUGCGGUGGGUACGGGCAGACUAGAGUGUGGUAGGGGAGACUGGAAUUCCUGGUGUAGCGGUGAAAUGCGCAGAUAUCAGGAGGAACACCAGCGGCGAAGGCGGCGCUCUGGGCUGGAACUGACGCUGAGGAGCGAAAGCGUGGGGAGCGAACAGG